UACGUAGGGGGGCAAGCGUUUGUCCGGAAUUAUUGGGCGUAAAGAGCGCGUAGGCGGUCCGGUAAGUCAGCUGUGAAAGUCAAGGGCUCAACCCUUGAAAGCCGGUUGAUACUGUCGGGCUAGAGUCCGGAAGAGGCGAGUGGAAUUCCCGGUGUAGCGGUGAAAUGCGCAGAUAUCGGGAGGAACACCAAUGGCGAAGGCAGCUCGCUGGGACGGUACUGACGCUGAGGCGCGAAAGCGUGGGGAGCAAACAGGG
rnacentral:rRNA from 1 species